rnacentral:rRNA from 1 species
GUGCAGUCGAGCGGAUGAGAAGAGCUUGCUCUUCGAUUCAGCGGCGGACGGGUGAGUAAUCCUAGGAAUCUGCCUGGUAGUGGGGGACAACGUUUCGAAAGGAACGCUAAUACCGCAUACGUCCUACGGGAGAAAGCAGGGGACCUUCGGGCCUUGCGCUAUCAGAUGAGCCUAGGUCGGAUUAGCUAGUUGGUGAGGUAAUGGCUCACCAAGGCGACGAUCCGUAACUGGUCUGAGAGGAUGAUCAGUCACACUGGAACUGAGACACGGUCCAGACUCCUACGGGAGGCAGCAGUGGGGAAUAUUGGACAAUGGGCGAAAGCCUGAUCCAGCCAUGCCGCGUGUGUGAAGAAGGUCUUCGGAUUGUAAAGCACUUUAAGUUGGGAGGAAGGGUACUUACCUAAUACGUGAGUAUUUUGACGUUACCGACAGAAUAAGCACCGGCUAACUCUGUGCCAGCAGCCGCGGUAAUACAGAGGGUGCAAGCGUUAAUCGGAAUUACUGGGCGUAAAGCGCGCGUAGGUGGUUCGUUAAGUUGGAUGUGAAAUCCCCGGGCUCAACCUGGGAACUGCAUCCAAAACUGGCGAGCUAGAGUAGGGCAGAGGGUGGUGGAAUUUCCUGUGUAGCGGUGAAAUGCGUAGAUAUAGGAAGGAACACCAGUGGCGAAGCGACCACCUGGGCUCAUACUGACACUGAGUGCGAAAGCGUGGGGAGCAAACAGGAUUAGAUACCCUGGUAGUCCACGCCGUAAACGAUGUCAACUAGCCGUUGGAAUCCUUGAGAUUUUAGUGGCGCAGCUAACGCAUUAAGUUGACCGCCUGGGGAGUACGGCCGCGGUUAAAACUCAAAUGAAUUGACGGGGGCCCGCACAAGCGGUGAGCAUGUGGUUUAAUUCGAAGCAACGCAAAUACCGGCCUGCUGCAGAUUUCAAUCUUCGGCUCUGACACGGCUCAGUCGCACUCUUGUUCCCCCUCUAGGAAAUCAGGAACG